rnacentral:sRNA from 1 species
AAGUGAAAUAUGCCCUCCGGGCAUGUGAAAUACUGGCUUCGCCAGUGUGAAAUAUCGCUUCGCGAUGUGAAAUGUUGG